UAUAAACCAAACUAACAGAUUAUUAUCUCCCAUUCCCUCUUGUUCUUCAAGCUUCUUCUAUGCUAUAUCAAUCAAUCGCUUUUGUUGGUCUUUGUUCUGUCUGAGUGGCUUGCUCUGAAUCAGCUGAAAAUGGACAUCCUUGGACAUACUGCAAUCUGGCUCACUCUAUUGAUCUGUUGAAAAUGGAUGGCCUUGAAACCUAUACACCUAAAAAAAAUGUAUAGGACAUACUUCGAUUCCACUGGCAUUCUAAGUAUCUCGACAUGGAUGAUGGAUCGAUUGCUUGACAUAUUGGACAUUAUUUAGCUUCAAGAAUAUAACACUGAAACUGGCCAAACAGCUGAUCGCAAUACCUUAGAAGUGGCUUGGAAGUUGGACUUGAGACAAUGAUUCUUGUACUUUGUAGACAACAACUCAUUUGAUGAAAAUAAAGAUGCAUUGUGC